UACGGAGGGAGCUAGCGUUAUUCGGAAUUACUGGGCGUAAAGGGUGCGUAGGUGGCGCUGUAAGUCGGGUGUGAAAUUUCGAGGCUUAACCUCGAAACUGCAUUCGAUACUGCGGUGCUUGAGGACUGGAGAGGAGACUGGAAUUCAUGGUGUAGCAGUGAAAUGCGUAGAGAUCAUGAGGAAGACCAGUGGCGAAGGCGGGUCUCUGGACAGUUCCUGACACUGAGACACGAAGGCCAGGGGAGCAAACGGG
rnacentral:rRNA from 1 species